CGAACGGGAUUUAGUAGACAGAAACCUCGGUGGAAGAUUACUAAUGAGAGUGGCGAACGGGUGAGUAACGCGUGAGCAACCUGCCUAUGACAGUGGGAUAGCCUCGGGAAACCGGGAUUAAUACCGCAUAAAAUCGUAGAAACACAUGUUUUAACGGUCAAAGAUUUAUCGGUCAUAGAUGGGCUCGCGUCUGAUUAGCUAGUUGGUGAGAUAACAGCCCACCAAGGCGACGAUCAGUAGCCGGUCUGAGAGGAUGAACGGCCACAUUGGAACUGAGACACGGUCCAAACUCCUACGGGAGGCAGCAGUGGGGAAUAUUGCACAAUGGGGGAAACCCUGAUGCAGCGACGCCGCGUGAACGAAGAAGGUAUUCGUAUCGUAAAGUUCUGUCCUAUGGGAAGAUAAUGACAGUACCAUAGAAGAAAGCUCCGGCUAAAUACGUGCCAGCCGCCGCGGUAA
rnacentral:rRNA from 2 species